ensembl:snRNA U6 U6 spliceosomal RNA
GUACUCUCGCUUCAGCAGCACAUACAUUAAAAUUGGACUGAGACAGGGAAGGUUAGCAUGGCCCCUGCGCAAGGAUGACAUGCAAACUCGUGAAGUUUUAAAAUCUAAU